ensembl:lncRNA
UUUGCCUGGCCUUUGUGAUGAGGCUCUUAAACUGUGGGUCCCAAUCUAAAAAGCCCUUAGCUUAAUGAUGGGGUCCUGAAAAAAUUGGCACCAGUAAAAGUUUUCUGAAUGCCACGGAGUGGCUGUUUUAGACAUUUACACCAAUUUGUUGUGCAGGCUUUAGAGACUGGGAGUUGUGUUCUCAUGCAUUUGGAGAAGGCCAUUGGAAAACAACAAGAAUAAAAGGUGAACUAAAGUAUGACAUAAACUAAUCCCCACACAAACAUUUUACAAGAGCAGUUGUCCCCAAUCUCUCAGCUGCAUGUUCUCCUCUUCUCUGCUCUUUCACCUUCCUGUAACACUAAACUCCCCCCAAAUUGAGAGCUUUCUCUCUCUCUUGCUUUCUUUAAUAGGGGCUGUACUCUAUGCCCAGCUGUUGACUUGCCUGAAGGUCACCUGUCAACUUAUGUCAGCUCCAGAAAUUUCAUAGGGUUCUCUAAUCACUUGGUAUAGUAUCGGAAGAAGUGAUGGAUUUCCACAGAAGUUCAUGCUAAAAUUUAAAAAGGUUGAUCUUAAAGACGCUACUGCAUUUCUUUCCCUUUCCUUUUGAGAUCGAACAGAACAGGCUUCCUGCAUUCAACCUAAUCUGACCUGCAGCAGGGAGUUCCGCAGAUCCGGAAAGAAGCCCUGCUGAACCAAUCAAUAAAUGAAAUGUGUGUUCCAACAGCAGCUUAUAACAUGUUUCCUUUUGCCUCCUUCCCGAUCCCAACAAUGUAACUAAUCCCAAAUAAAAGUAUCAUUUCAUUCUAACCAUCCCUGGGGUUUUUUUUAAAUCCCCUAGUUUGAUGAAAAAAUUAUAGGGAACAAAAAAGCAUGCACAGUUUUGGGCAAUUGUAGUUGGUUCAGAUUGUUGUUUUGGUUCAAAAUACACAGGUAUUGCUGUGGAUUUUGGAUAUUGCUUUGUUAUUCUGUCCUUGAGCUAUUUUUAACAGGUUGGGCUGGAUAAAAAGGUCCACAGACCACUUGGCAGUCCUUUAUCAGUCCUGGAAAGCAAAUCUAGGAUUCAUAAUUAACAACCUGACAUGCAUGGACAAAUCCAUCAUUGCAAUAUCCUCCAGAAAUGCAAACUACCUCGAAGAUCUGUAUAUUCAGUACAAUAUUGUUUACUUGUAGCAUGCACAAGAAAAGCCAGCCUAGGGGUAUGAACUCCUCAUAAAGCUCAUAGGCCAUCAAUUCUGUAUAUCAAAAUAUACAGAAUGGAGUUAUGUUCUGUUGAUCCCUACAACCUGUUUGCUAGUGCUGCUCAGGAGGCAUUGGGGAGGGGGGAAAUUCCAGUGAGGUAGAGUGUAUUUCUGGUAAAUGUCUUGUUCUGGAACCAUAGAUAGUUGAUAUAGAUAGUUCCAGGCCUCUCUCCUCAGUUCAUUCAGUGCAAGACACUGACAUAUGUUACUGCUACAGCAUAAGCUUUUUUGGUGGCAAAUGAUGAGAUGCAUUCCCAAAUGGAAACUGUAAUGUCAUUUUAAAAUAAAUUAAUAAACAAACUGAAGGACUGCAAAAGGGGGUAGAAGAUCUUCUUUAUCCCUCUUGACCUACCCAGAUAAUAAUGAACAAAUACAUUUGUAUGUGUGAAAGAAGUCCUUCAAGUAAUGACUGAAUUUCAAAAAAUGGGAGAAGGGGGUUUGCUUUCCUUGCCCCCUCUGUGCUGCCACUC